UCGCUUCUUCCCGGAUUUUUAUCCACCGUUUUUCCGUCGGUCUUUUUUCGGGUCGAUCCCACAUUUUGUGAACUAGAUCGUGGGUCCUAUCCUCCAUCCGUUCAGUUGCUGGCUUUGCCCGUUCCGUCGUCGCUGUCCCUCUGCCGACGCCGGCGACGCCUGUCGCGACGCAACGCCGAGGGGAGGCCCGUAGCCGCGCGUCUCUCCCCCACAAAGGCAGCCGUUACGUUGAGCAAGCAGCUCUGGGGGAUCGUCGGGCGGCGGCAGCGUCGAGCUGCGAGGGAUCCGACCCGCGGGCGACGAGUUGGCCUGUGGCGGCGCCGUUCGUGCUACAGUAUUACCCUGAGACUUGCAACAGAAGGGCAAAAAUACAAGAAUGGAUCUGGGUCUCUGCUGUUCCAUGCGUAGAACUAACCGACGAAUCCCCUUUGUAUGUACAAGCUGCCGUGGAUCUGGACCAGCUGCCAGAAUCCGCUUGGAUGCUGGCUGUGCUUUGUAUGUAUACCAGCAGCAACGUCGAGGCUUACUCGACGAAGCACGGCAGGUUCUUAAUUUUGCAUUCUAAUUGAGUGAUUAGUACAUCUGGGCAGCCAACAACAAAAUGCGCCUCUUCCAUGGGCCAUGCGUGCACCUCUCAUACUUAUCCAGAAUUGCUAAUCAUUUUUUGUAAUUCCUAAUUAGUAGCACUAAUCAAAAGAUAUGCUGCCGGAGGCAGACCAAAACUUGUAUUAACUAUACACGCUUCUUUGAUAUUAUCUAUAUGCUGCCGGUGUGCUGCCGGAGGGAUGGAACCUGGCAGCUCUCCUGCUGCACACCAGUAUAAGAACCAGCUCAUCCAAGGGAGCACAUCUGCCGUGCUGGGGAUGUGUAUGACAAAAUGCACAGAAGGGACUGUUGUCAGAUUUCGACAGAAAACUUCGCAGUACUUUCAGCUUUCAGGCUUGACCUUUCUUUCACUUAACAAUCAGUUUGAAAAUUUUGAACUGGGCGAAUUGUUGAUUGUUCCUUAGACAAAGGGAUGUUUAACCUUUCCAAACAAUUUACACUGUCAGUUGUGGCUACCAACUAUAGCCAAUUAUUAGAUAAGCUGUGGCAACCGACAUUUAUAUUUAACUCAUUGCAGUUAAUUUUUCACCUACAUUUCUAAUUAUUGUACCCAAUUUUUCUGUUUGUUGUGGCAACGCCACCUCCCAGACAUUAUUGCAAAUUCCUUGCCAGGUGACUGCACCGACCACCACCAUCUCCUGCAUGUUGUGUGUAUGUAUUUUUGACACAUGAACUAUGGAUGAUUCUGAUACACACUCCAGUGUUGUUUGCCCCUGCAUGGUUGGUCCAAAAUCUGUGAGUUCUUUUGGAUAGCGGGUGAUUGAUUCUAAUGUUAAAUUCUGUCGGUGGAAGAAAAAUCCACAAUUUGUGAUUAAUCCAGUAAACUAGUAAUUAGGAUAUCUUCAAAUUAUAUCAAUAUCCUGUUUUUUAGUAUG